CGGAGGGUAGGAUAGUGGCUAUUCCGCCUGGUUUGGGACCAGGAUGUCGGGGGUUCAAAUCCCCCCCUUCCGA
rnacentral:tRNA from 1 species